AGGUGUUGUGUGAGCCCUGAGGUCUCCAGUCUUCCUGUUUCCCAUCUCGCCGGGCUCCUAUCUCAGCUGGUCUAUUUUCAGCUUCGAGAAGAUUCCUCAUCACUGCCCAGACGUAAGUUGUCCAUUAAGGUUGGAGCUUGGAUGGUGUAACCGUGUGUAGUACUUGAAAUCCACAGAGAGAGACAGAGGGAGACAGAGAAGGGGGCACGGCCUCCAUACUUAGGAGUCUUCAUCUUCAUUUUACCCGGAGCACCAGAGAAUCACGGCUUUAUUUCCAUCGUGAACCCUUUGUAAAUUCUGGCUCAAUACUGCCAAGUGUCUCCUGAACUUGCUAACAGGAAGAGACCAGAGAGAACAGUUGAAGAUUGAAAGAUGGUAAAUGCUAGAAAGCACCCGGGAAAGAACCAUUGCACCAGUAUUGCCAACCUUCCUUUUUGCUGAUGAGGUCAUUGAAGGACAUGCUCAAAAAUAUUUGUAAAAUGAACAAACAGAUGCAUGAGUGAAUUAAAGAAAACCAACAGUUAAACUCGAGAAGACAUCAUUCUUCCUGGACCCUCAGUCUGCCACCCCAAGAAACGGUGAGGUAACUGGGCCGAGAUGAUUGCCAAACACCUGCAAGACGCAGGCCCGGUGCCGUGAGCACGGAGGAGCCCGGCUUUCCGGAGAGACUGUGGGACAGGGAAUGUGCGAUUCUUGUUCCUUCUUCACGGGAGUCACAUUCUUGUCACGCGUGCAAAUGGAAAAUGCUCCUCUACUCCAGUGACAAAGUAGAAUAACAUGCCGUGUCGGGGUGGGUGGUAGAUGAGAAAUGGUGGAUCUGCUGUUGUGUAAUCACAAAGGUAGCUUGAUUCCAUAACUUCACCAGAUGUUUCUGGAAACAAGGCUGUUCUUUUCGGGGCCCCUGAGAUUGCUGACUGUGGUGGAACAACCUCAGGGGGUUUGCGAUGUUGGAACGUUUCCUCUCACGUGGCCUGUUAUCCUGCCUCAAAUGCUACCUUUUUUCACUUGUUUCUUUUCACCAGAUUAUCCUGUCACAAAUCUCUUAAAGAUGCAGCGUGGCUCUGUGGAGAGAGAGAUCAUGUCCGAGGCCCAGCUCUGCCACCUACCUGCUGUGUCAUCUUGGAAUUGACAGAGCACCUGUCUGGGCCUCAGGAGGUGGGGCUUCAGGGAUGAGACCUGCCUACCUUACAGAGCAGCUGUGCAGUCGAGGAGAUGCUGUGUGCAACAUGGGGAAGGGACAAGGCCUCAACACACACCUCAGUUAGCAUCUCAGCUGGACCUCAACAACCAGCCCCAGCCAGGCCCUGCCAGAGAAGGGCUCGGAAGAGAACUUAGGAGGGGCCCUGGGCAGAACCUCUGAUUUGGGGACCAGGCAGAAUCGAGUUCACAUCUCACCUCUACCGUCCAUUUGGGCAAAUUAUCAAUACUUAGCCUCUUCUGAUUCAGCUCUCUUAUACAUAUUGAUAUAUUAGUGUAACUAUUAUAGGGUUGCUUGUGAAGAGGAAAUGAAGGAAUUUAGACAACGUGUCCAGAGCACAGUUUAUGAACUCAAUAAAUGCUGGCUUUUGUUAGUAGCAGAAUGGAGUGGACCUCCAGCUCUGUCGCUUACCAGCCCAGUGACUUCAGGUGAAAUAGUUAAUAACUGUCUGAGCCACAGCUUGUCUAUCUGUAAACUGCAGUGACGCUGCCUAUCUUAUAUGGCGAUUUUGGGGGCCGACAAGAAUGUAUACAAAGGGCGUGGUACUAACAGGGUCUCAGCUAUUAUUAUUCAUGUUGUUAUUUUGAGGAAGUUUAUCUUUGAUUGAGGGUCCCAGAUAAAUAGCAGCAAAACAAUGGGCCAAUGGAGAAGUUAAGUGGACCAUUAUGUACAGAGAGCCCCAGACAGAACGGGUCACGGCUUUCUCACUGAUGGUGGGAAGUUCCCCAGUGACUUCGCCUGCCAAGUUAUUUGUUUCCUAGCAGGGAAAUAAUACAUGGAACUUGGCCACCGUAGGCUGGAGUCUCACUGUUUUCUGGGAAUCACCUGAUGUCAGGAUUUGCAACCUGAGUGCCUGGUCCAGAACAGGGAGCUCUGCCAGGCCACAGACAAAGGUCCCUUUGGUCCCCAAGCUGGCAUUGGCCACUGCCUGCUGAGGGGCUUGCAGGCAUCAUGUGACUAUCCCUACUUAGAUCCUCAGAUAGAGACUUGGGCCAUUUCUGGGCAUUGUGUCCCAUCCACAACUUUGUGAGGGUAUAAGAAAACUUAUUUUUUUACUACAAAAAUAUGUGGACAGACCUACUUAAUACUAAAGAAAUCUGCCUUAUCCCAAAGGAGGAAGCAGACAUUGUGGUGUCACAGAAAGAACCCCGGGAUGGGGGUCCACCAGGCAGCCUGCGCCCUCUCUGGUGACUUGGCUCAGGGAUUGCUCGUUGCAGAGAAAAAAGCUCUUUCCAUUUAGUUCAAAUAAAAAACAUCGGCCUUACUGUAAGUAUUCAGGGUCAGCUCCUGGGACCCCUGCUGUAGGAAGUUCAGCUUGACCUCACAGCAAGUGGGAAGGCACCCCCUCUCCCGGGCACACAGGGAAGCCUGUUUCCACAGCAUCCCAGACAUCCGAGCUCAACUCUCCUCCUGUGUAUGACUUUCCCUGCUGGGCCUACCUUCCGCUCCCCCUUAAGCUGUCUGCCUGUGGCUGUGGCUGACCUCGGCAAUGAUUCCAGACUCGACACUCACAGACACAGUUGAGACCAAUGAUUCCUCACAGCUCACAGACACAGUCGAGACCAAUGAUCACUUGGUCUCAACUUUAAAUACCGAGGAGAGAGAAUUUGAUUGGCUUAAUUUGGAUCAGGUGUUGGCUCCUGGUCAGAUCAACUGUGAUUAGGGGCAAUGGUCCCAUGAGGCCGUGGGCGGUUCCUCCUGGAACUGUGGACAGAGCAGGCUCUCCAGUCAGGGGAUGUAACAAAGCAACCAUGGACAUAUGAGAAAAUUGGUUCAACUUUAUGGGUUGUAUUUUCUUCAACUGCAAAAUAAUAAUAAUUAUUAUUGUAUUAGCCAUUAAGUGUCAGAUUAAAUAAUUUUACAUAUAGAACCCAGUUGACCUCCCCUCUUUCCUGCCAACUCCUAUACCUGUUGGGUCAACUGUGGCCACAUAACAAUAAUCCAGAUCCCCAUCUCGUAGGAUAGAGGAAGUCCACCCUCCAAGGAAGUUCUCUUCUCUAGGGUGUUAUUGGGAACCUGAGGACUGUGUGUAUGUUCCACAAGUCUACCCAGGUGGUGGCCUGUCAUCCCUACCAGCCUCCUUGCUCUGCAUUAUUGCUCCCCUUGAGCUCAGCUGGCAUCUCUAGCAUCGUGUUUUCCAGGCUGUUGACACUCACCCUUGUAUAUCUGCACCCCUGACAUGGAUGUGAGCUCCUUCCCUCAGUCCCCAAAGCAUAGCUAAGGGAGGAUGGAAAUGGUAUAACUGCCCUCUCCAGCUUUAUUGAGUUAUAAUUGACAACUAAAAAUUGUAUAUAUUUAAGUGGUACAACGUGAUUUUUUUAAAAAUGGAAAUCUUGUAACUUUACUGAAUGUUUGGGGACAACAGAAUUUCACAAAAACACUAAGCUUGGGCUUGCAUAGCUGUUCCUGGGCCUUCCUGAGGCUAGAGGACCCAAAAGGUACCCUCAGAAUAUUUCUGCUGAGGAGUUCAGGCCAUUCUCAGAGAGAGGAAGGGCUUCAUCCCUUCCGGUCCAAAGGCCACCUCAUCGCCUUCACCAGGAUUCAGCCCAAUUGCAGGAAGCCUGGGAGUGGGAACCUCCUUUCCCUCCGGGGGAAACUCCCACUCCCACCUGUCAGGUUGCCAUCUGACACACCCACAGUCACCACAGACCUUUCUGGUUUCAUCAGGUCUGCUUCCUCAGUUUAAACAGUCCUGCCGGGGCAACUCAACAGCCUCAACCCAGUACUGGGGGCCAAGCCUGCACCUCCCUCCUCGUCGGGGUAGGUCCUGGCGCUGGAUCGCUUGUGAGCUCAUUUUUGGUCAAAACAACAAACUCAUCUCCCAAGAGCAUACAGUGAUUUUUUUCAGGCAUUGGACACUGAAGUUCCAAGUUUUACACAAAAAAUUUUCUGAUUUUAGGAUUUAUCUGGAAAGUCUCCAAUGGACAUUUGUAAACGGUAUACAUUAGGAUGGGAACUGGCCUUACCAGUAGGACCGAAAUGACUCAGUGCUGUGGUCCCUCCUUAAACAAAGGGAAUGUCUGUUCCGAGGACAGAUUGACUUUUUUUCCCCUCAUAAACUACAGAGACUGUCUGAAAUUCCUCAAAUGGCCACUUUCCAGCCUCAAAUAUUUAAAGCCCUAGUCUCUUCCAGGUGCCUUGUUCUAGUAAAUUAUCUCCUUUGAUCCUCCCAAGAAAUUUAGGAGGGAAGGUAUGGUUUCCUUUGUUUCACAAAGAGGAAACUGAGGCUCAGAAGUGUGGGAUAAUUAGCCUACAGGUGGUAAACAGUAGGGUGGGAUUCAAAUCCAACAUGGACCUUUGUCCUACAGCACCCUCAUCCCAUGACCCUUUCUGCUUCCGAUGGUCUGCAAUUCCGAGGGCCUUAUGAUACUGGGAGGCUCUGACCCUGGCCUGGGGGAAGGCAACUGUGACUCCCAAGACUUGAGCCCAAAGGACAGUGCAAGCUGCCUAUUUUGCAGGGCCCAGUGCAAAAUGGAAACGUGAGCCCUUAUUCAAAAGUGCUGAAGAAUGCAACACCAUGAGAGCAGAGCGUUAAAGCAGGGACAGGUCCUUGUGAAGGCUGGGCCCUGUGCGGGCGACAGGCCUGUGAGCUGGCAGCCAGGACGAGUCACCUAGCUCCUGGGAGAAGCAUGGGCCGCGGGGCGACCUGGUGCUGGAGGACACUGGGAUGUUUUCCAGCAAGCCUGCUCUGCUCUCUCCCCUGUCACGUGGCAUGAUCGUCAAAGGAAGCGAGAGACCCAUGGGUUGUGUAGACCAGAUAAUUUUUGUAGUUUAACUGCUUGGAUUCCUCCGCUAUUGUUGUUUUGAAUAAUCUGUGUGGCUUUUGAAGAAGUGGCUUGAACUGAUUUGAGCCUUAUUCAGAGGUGAAGAAGUCGCAGGCAAAGGGAGCCUGGAUGAGAGAGGAGCGUUCAGUUGGUGCUGCAGGUCUCGGGAGUGGAGGAGCCGGUGCUGGGUGCUCAGCAGAGGUAGCGGGGACAGAGGCAGCUGGAGAGCUGUGAGCGACAGUGCUCAGCUCUAGACAGCAGAAUGACAAUCGGAAACGUAAAAUCCCAGGCGGAAAGUGAGAAAGAAGCGAGCAAAACAAACCCUCAGCUCAACUGCAGCCGAAAGAGGGGGAAGUUAAGAGAGGAAAUGGCUCAUCAGUGUUGCAAAUGGGUAGCAGCCUCUGCUGGACGACGGGACACCCCAGUUGUUUUCCCCAAGGGCAGAGGCAUUUGGGCACUUGGCUGGGUUUCCCCAGGAGGUGGGGUUUGCUAGAGAGAGUCUAAUUCUGGCCAAAGCCUCCCGAAUUCUCAGGUCACUGGUCUGAUCUCAAGCUUUGAAGGCCUGCUUCCAGCUUUGUGACUCUUCCCAGGGUCAGUGAGCAACCUGUGUGUAGUCUGGGGGCCAGCCUUGGAGGACAACGGCUAAUGGUCAGGUGUGGUCCCUGCCCUCCUGGAAUUCUCAGUCUGGAGGGGGAGUCAGGAAAAUGAGCAGGCAGGUGGACAGGCAGGGGAGGUGUUGGGGGGAGCACAGAGGAGGAGUGCCUCACCAGGAAAGGUCUCUCCCCAAGAAAGCCACGUUCAGACAGAAAUCUGAAGGAUGAGCAGCAUUUAUCCAAGUGUUGGGGAUGAUUGAGGUGAGGAGGGGAUCCCGGUUAAAGGGAAAGCAUGUGCAAAGGCCAGGAAGUAAGGAAGAGGGUGUUGCAUUUGAGUGAUGGACAUUGACUGCUAGGAGAGACCUUCCCAUCCACACAUGUUAGUUGAGUGGCUACUACCUGCUCAGGGCUGGACAGCCAUCCUAUACACUUGAUCGUGCCACUCUCCAUCUGUUGCUUUUCCCAUUGCACACCCUUUCCUGCUUCUCUGUUUUCCUGAUUCUUUCCAUCUCAUACUUUGAUUGGCUCUCUCCCUUGGAUUUAUUCCACGUAUUAGCAGAAUACAAGUUCAGCUGCUGUUUCCAAGAUCAAAAUAACAUUGGCUUAAGCAAGAAAGAUGGAAGUUAAUCUCACUUUCAUGAAAUUGCCCAAGAAUAAGCAGUUGGUUGUGGAGGUAGCUCUGCAGAGGUGAGGACCCAGAAUCUCUGGCUCGUUUUCUUCCACCAUCCCUGAGGUAUCAUUCUUGAGGACAUGCUCCAAAGUGGCUCUCUACCGUGUCAGCUUUCCAUGAGGCAAGAUAGCGACAGAGGAGCGCACUCUCCUUUUUUUAAAGGUCAUGCCACGGAAAUUGUACACAUCAUUUCUGCUCACAUCCCAUUGGCCAGAGCUUGGUCAUGUGACCACACCUAGAUGCAGGGAAGUCUGAGAAAUGUAGUCCAGCUGGUGCCCAUGCUCAGUGAAAUCUCAGAAGUAAAUGGAUAUUCAGAUAAUCACAGACUCUGUCCUAUUCUAUUUCUGGUUUGUGAUCUUGGAGAUCUGUCUUCACAGACUAAUAACCCAGUAAUGGCUCUCCUAUUUGAUUCAGCCCUGGGCUCCCCAUCUCUCAUGUAAACACUAGAAAGGCAGAGGACAUCAAUGCUGGAAAACGAAAUAUCAUCCUGUGCUCAGCUAAAACUUACAAAAGACAAACCAAGGGGUAAAACAUUUAUGGGAUGUGUUAGGUCAAUAAAAAUUCCUCUUCUCAGGCCAGGACAAAGGCGGUCUACACGCUGUAUUUAAAGAAGCUUUGUUUGUUAGAUUAAACGCUGGGUGAGUCCUCUUUUGGGCCUUAAAAGCUCUCCAUCCAGAAGAGAUGAUGAAGCCACAGACUUGCCCAUAAGCCCUUAAUCAAGGCUCGGCCUGAAUUCCUCAGGCUUUGUUGCUUCGAAGGGCAAGGAAGGAAAAAAGUGACGGAUUGACAAGGAACACUGGCAGGUGGUGAAUGUGUUCCCUGCAAAGAGCCUUCCGGAGCGUGAGAGUGCUUAUGAGUGAAUGGGUUCAACCUGACGGAAGAUCCAGAUAAUCCAAUAAAACACUUCUUGUUUUCGUGACUAAUG